AAGUCGUAACAAGGUUUCCGUAGGUGAACCUGCGGAAGGAUCAUUAACAUCUUUUAUUCUCUUUUUGGGUUUUGGUUUUAUUGAGUUAGAUCUUUUGAUUUGAUUCAGUAAUACCUCUACCCAUUCUAACCCCAAACUAUGUGCACUGUGUUGUGCUUUUGUUGUUACGAAAGCACUUCUUUUUUUUACUUCUAUUCAAUAAACCCCUUUUAUUACUACUUCUAGACUGACUUUAAACAACUUGAUUCGUACACUUCAUACUGUACGAUGACCAAUCAUAAUACAACUCUUAGCAACGGAUAUCUAGGCUCUC
rnacentral:misc_RNA from 1 species